GACGAACGCUGGCGGCGUGCCUAAUACAUGCAAGUCGAGCGGACUUUCAAGAAGCUUGCUUUUUGAAAGUUAGCGGCGGACGGGUGAGUAACACGUGGGCAACCUGCCUGUAAGACGGGGAUAACUCCGGGAAACCGGGGCUAAUACCGGAUAAUAUCUUUCUUCGCAUGAAGGAAGGUUGAAAGGCGGCGCAAGCUGCCGCUUGCAGAUGGGCCCGCGGCGCAUUAGCUAGUUGGUGAGGUAACGGCUCACCAAGGCGACGAUGCGUAGCCGAACUGAGACGGUGAUCGGCCACACUGGGACUGAGAAACGGCCCAGACUCCUACGGGAGGCAGCAGUAGGGAAUCUUCCGCAAUGGACGAAAGUCUGACGGAGCAAAGCCGCGUGAGCGAAGAAGGUCUUCGGAUCGUAAAGCUCUGUUGUCAGGGAAGAACAAGUACCGUUCGAAUAGGGCGGUACCUUGACGGUACCUGACCAGAAAGCCACGGCUAACUACGUGCCAGCCGCCGCCGUAA
rnacentral:rRNA from 1 species